rnacentral:lncRNA from 1 species
UUAGCUAAUGAAUGUUUUUAAGGAGAGGCAUGAUAGUAUGCUUUGUAUGAAGGGUGAAUCGCAGGGAAGGAAACUAUGGAAGUAGAGAGACUAAUAUGAUGCAUGGAGCAGAAAUCCAGGUAAAUAUGAUGGUGGUUUGAACUAAUUUACUGGCAUAGUAGAUAUAGAGAAUAAGGCAAAAGAGAUAUAAAUGAGAAGUACAAUUGAAUAGAGAUGUUUGGAAGAGAAACUGAUAGAUCUAAAUCUGGACUAGCUAUAGAUGGUCUUGAGGAAGAGAGAAAGCAAUCAACUUUUGGAGGUUAAGCCAUUUAUUCAGAUGUUAACCACUGCGGGAAAGGAUCUAAAACAGUUUGAGGGAAAAUCAUCAUCAUACCACUAUGAUAUUUAGAAUGACCCAUUUACAUUAAUAAACUUUAAGCUCCUCAGCAAGGUCAUGCCUUGGAUUAGAAAAAUACCAAAUAAAUCCUUCCAGCAUAUCCCAUUCUUUCAUAUAUCUAGUAGGAAUAGAAAUUAGAUAAAUGUUAGUCACUAUUAUCCAUGCAAAAUGCCAUUCUUUUUUUUUUUUUUUUUUUUUUCCUUGCCACAAAGAAAGUGGUUUGGUCAUAUUGAAUAGAGUGACUCACCGACGCCACCUCUGAAUGUCUUACUUUUUCUUUGCUGACAAAGCUCACCUCAGCAACAAGUAGCAAAAACACAGAAGCACUACCACAGGAGGGCUCCCAUGAUUGUUUCCCACUCCUAGGGGACACCAAGAGGCAUAAGGAUGCUGUUGGCAGAGAGCCAGACCUGACUCAUCUUUCCUCUGUACUCGACAAGGUACCCAGCUGGCCCUGCCCUAAACCAUAGGAAUCAUGCCAUAUUGUCUACUGAGCCUCUGUAAAAACACGUCACGGUGUCUGUCCCAUGAUUGCACAACGGUUCUCUUCCAAAAGCGAACCUCCAAUAGACAGGGAAGGAGGAGAAAUAGAAAAGAACAUGAAUUGUAUUUCUGAAAAGAAACGAACCUCCCAACGUUGGCACCCAGAAACUGAAAAUCCACCGUUCUUUGAAAAGCCUGUGCUGACCUGGUCUUUACCUUACUGCAGUUAGCUUUUUUUAAAACUCCCCUAUGCUUUUCAGAUAAAAAAAAAAAAAAAAAAAAAAAAAAAAGAAAAGAUUCUUAGCGUCAUAGGAGAUAAAAAUUACUGGGGAGGCUGCAACUAUAAUUGAAAAAAGAAACACUAAAAGAACGAGUCAAAUGUUUGCUAGAAUCACAAAAGUUGAAGUUUUUGGUGUGGUCAUCUUGUUUUGAUCUUUUGUCUUGAAGACAAGUAACAAAAAUACCUAUUUUUUUUCCCAUUGAAAGUAAGUGACACUUUCAGUCGAGACCAAAAACAAGUUAAAAGGGCUCUGAAUCU